rnacentral:rRNA from 1 species
AGGUCUUGACAUCCCCUGACAACCCUAGAGAUAGGGCGUUCCCCUUUCGGGGACAGGGUGACAGGUGGUGCAUGGUUGUCGUCAGCUCGUGUCGUGAGAUGUUGGGUUAAGUCCCGCAACGAGCGCAACCCUUGACCUUAGUUGCCAGCAUUCAGUUGGGCACUCUAAGGUGACUGCCGGCUAAAAGUCGGAGGAAGGUGGGGAUGACGUCAAAUCAUCAUGCCCCUUAUGACCUGGGCUACA